GAUGAACGCUGGCGGCGUGCCUAAUACAUGCAAGUCGAGCGAACAGACGAGGAGCUUGCUCCUCUGACGUUAGCGGCGGACGGGUGAGUAACACGUGGAUAACCUACCUAUAAGACUGGGAUAACUUCGGGAAACCGGAGCUAAUACCGGAUAAUAUAUUGAACCGCAUGGUUCAAUAGUGAAAGACGGUUUUGCUGUCAAUUAUAGAUGGAUCCGCGCCGCAUUAGCUAGUUGGUAAGGUAACGGCUUACCAAGGCGACGAUGCGUAGCCGACCUGAGAGGGCGAUCGGCCACACUGGAACUGAGACACGGUCCAGACUCCUACGGGAGGCAGCAGUAGGGAAUCUUCCGCAAUGGGCGAAAGCCUGACGGAGCAACGCCGCGUGAGUGAUGAAGGUCUUCGGAUCGUAAAACUCUGUUAUUAGGGAAGAACAAAUGUGUAAGUAACUAUGCACGUCUUGACGGUACCUAAUCAGAAAGCCACGGCUAACUACGUG
rnacentral:rRNA from 1 species